rnacentral:lncRNA from 1 species
AUAGAUUUUAUUUUCUGUUUAGCCAUUCUGCUUUCUACGAUAGCUUUCACGGAUAAAUUUAAAACGCGCUCGUUGUUCGCGUGCCUCCUUGCCAAUGCACGUCCAUCCCAUGCAUUCAAAUUGUUGGAUCCCACAUACCUUUUAAAUACUUUAGUGACCACACGCCAGGCCCAGCCAACGUCUUUCUUCUUUUAAUGUUUUCAUGUGGGUCCCAUUUUUUAAACUUUAAAUCACCCAUUACGUGAAACUUGUUGACUUUUUAAAUCAUUCCCUUCUCAAACUUCAUGUGCUGUGGAGUAGACAAUGCAACCAACUCUUGUACACCAAAGCUUCUAUACAUUGUGUGAGCUGCAUGAAGAGGUUUCGGGCCUUUCAUCAUUUUGGGCUUUUGAAUUUUAUUUUGAACUUGAGUUAGACUUGAUUUUGAGC